rnacentral:tRNA from 1 species
CUAAUAAAGCAAGGCACUGAAAAUGCCAAGAUGAGUCGCACGACUCCAUAAACA